GCCUGAGUGGCUCAGUUGGUUGAGCAUCUGACUUCAACUCAGGUCAUGGUCUUGCAGUUCAUGAGUUCGAGCCUCACGUCUGGCU
rnacentral:tRNA from 1 species